AAAAUGAAAGAGAUAUGAUUUUUUGAAAUAAAAGGAAUUUAAGAAAAUAAAAACAGAAAUUAUAAAAUGCAAAAAAAGGAGGAGCGUUGGAUCUGAGCUCAUUAAUUGAGCUAGCAGAUCACACGCUCCUAAGGCGCGCGCCUAUGGUGAUCCACGGUCAAUGCGUGCACAUGUGAAACAAUAGAAAGUCAUAACAAACAAUGGCUAAGAUUCAAUCUGGGAAAU
rnacentral:lncRNA from 1 species